rnacentral:rRNA from 1 species
UACGAAGGAUUCGAGCGUUAUCCGGAUUUAUUGGGUUUAAAGGGUGCGUAGGUGGACUAAUAAGUCAGUGGUGAAAGCCCGCAGCUUAACUGCGGAACUGCCAUUGAUACUGUUAGUCUUGAGUACAAUUGAGGUGGGCGGAAUGUGUCAUGUAGCGGUGAAAUGCUUAGAUAUGACACAGAACACCGAUUGCGAAGGCAGCUCACUAAGCUGUAACUGACACUGAGGCACGAAAGCGUGGGGAGCAAACAGG